UACGUAGGGACCAAGCGUUGUUCGGAUUUACUGGGCGUAAAGGGCGCGUAGGCGGCGAAUCAAGUCAGCUGUGAAAUCUCCGAGCUUAACUCGGAACGGUCAGCUGAUACUGUUUUGCUAGAGUGCAGAAAGGGCAACCGGAAUUCUUGGUGUAGCGGUGAAAUGCGUAGAUAUGAAGAGGAACACCUGAGGCGAAGGCGGGUUGCUAGGCUGACACUGACGCUGAAGCGCGAAAGCUAGGGGAGCAAACGGG
rnacentral:rRNA from 1 species